rnacentral:rRNA from 1 species
GACGAACGCUGGCGGCGUGCUUAACACAUGCAAGUCGAACGGUAAGGCCCCUUCGGGGGUACACGAGUGGCGAACGGGUGAGUAACACGUGGGUGAUCUGCCCCGCACUUCGGGAUAAGCCCGGGAAACUGGGUCUAAUACCGGAUAGGACCACGCUCUGCAUGGAGUGUGGUGGAAAGCUUUUGCGGUGUGGGAUGGGCCCGCGGCCUAUCAGCUUGUUGGUGGGGUGAUGGCCUACCAAGGCGACGACGGGUAGCCGGCCUGAGAGGGUGUCCGGCCACACUGGGACUGAGAUACGGCCCAGACUCCUACGGGAGGCAGCAGUGGGGAAUAUUGCACAAUGGGCGCAAGCCUGAUGCAGCGACGCCGCGUGGGGGAUGACGGCCUUCGGGUUGUAAACCUCUUUCAGUACCGACGAAGCGCAAGUGACGGUAGGUACAGAAGAAGCACCGGCCAACUACGUG